CGGGUGCGGGGCGGUUAACGGAAGCAUCCUUCGGGGCCCCACCCCGCGCCCUCCCCGGUCCGGAACCGCCAAGCCCCUGCCUCCCCAUCAAGAGAAGUGGGGUGAGGGAGGUGGCUGCUGGGUAACCGUGCCUGGCUUCCUCUGUGCCACCCCUCCCAUCCAGGAGCAAAGACCAAGAUCCUGAACUCAGGAGGAUCCAGGCAGCAAACAAAAUACCUCAAAAGUGGGGCUUAUGAACUCAAAGAAUGGGACACCCAGUUCAGGGCGCCCCGAAACGGAGACCUGAGCAACAUAGGGUGCCCAGACGUUGACACAGCAGGAGAAUCUCACACAAAUGCAGACAUACCCGAGACUCAGAGACCCUCCCCAAAAAGUGGCAAGGUGUCUGUCCACUCCAAGCACUGGGGGCCCCCACUUACUUUCUCAAACUCUAGCCGGAUGGGCGAGGGGAAGUGGCCGGACACCCAGUCUGCAGCCUCCCGUCCCAGAGCCAUCGCCUCAGCCACGGAGGAGACGCCGAAGCGGCACAUGACCGAGUCUGUGUCACCAUACACCACCUGGGGAGGGGCGCGUGUGACCCGGGGGGCGGGGAGAUGCUGGGCGGCCCCUGCACUUCCCACGCCAGCCCCGGGCCCGUCUCAGGCAGCAGCAGGCAGGCAGGAGGCCCCUGACCUUGGCGCUGGUGCUAUAGCCGUUCUCCACCGUGUACUUGGACUCCACGAGCUGCUUCGUCUUCUCAAUCAUCUGGCGCCCGAACCCGGUGACACUCUGUUGGGGAGAGAAUCAUGCAGCAUGAGAGCCCAGAGGCCAUCCGAGGGAACACGGGCUUGGGCUCCCACCUCUGCUGCUCCUCCAGGCCUUCAUAAGCUUAAGGAACAGAAAUAGGAAAAGAGGCCAAGAAACAGACAUACCUGAGACAGAGAGAAGGGGCUGAGAGGAAAAUGACAAGAGAGACAAGGCCAGGAAGCGGCAGCAGUGAUGAGGAAGCGCC